rnacentral:rRNA from 1 species
AGGGUUUGAUCAUGGCUCAGAACGUACGCUGGCGGCACGCCUAACACAUGCAAGUCGAACGCAGUAGCAAUACUGAGUGGCAGACGGGUGAGUAACAUGUGGGAAUCUGCCUUGUGGUUCAGGACAACAUUGGGAAACCGAUGCUAAUACUGGAUAAGCCCUUACGGGGAAAGCUUUAAUGCCACAAGAUGAGCCCGCAUUUGAUUAGUUAGUUGGUGAGGUAAUGGCUCACCAAGACAAUGAUCAAUAGCUGAUCUGAGAGGAUGAUCAGCCACACUGGGACUGAGACACGGCCCAGACUCCUACGGGAGGCAGCAGUGGGGAAUCUUGCACAAUGGAGGAAACUCUGAUGCAGCGAUGCCGCGUGAGUGAAGAAGGCCUUUGGGUUGUAAAGCUCUUUUGUAGGGGAAGAUAAUGACUGUACCCUAAGAAUAAGGUCCGGCUAACUUCGUGCCAGCCGCCGCGGUAAUACA